GAAACCGUUUUAGGGGUAAACCUGAGAAACCCGAAAGGUCGAAGGGAGAAAUUCAUUCGCGUUUUACGACAGGCUUCGGACGGUAGCGUUGACGGAAUGCGUUCGCGCGUUUUCCGCUCCUUCCGUUCGAAGGUCCGGUCGCGAACGUGUGCACUUUUCUUCUGGUAGGACGUCGCGAUCCGUUGGGUGUCGGUCUACGGUUUCGAGCGGAGCCCGUCGGUUACACGUUAACCGACGGACCUCGUAUACUCGGCCGACUCGCUCGACGGUAUAAGAAAGGUUCGAGGCCGCUCUUGGAGCGUUCGAACCGUGGCAAGCGCGUCAGUUGUGUUGGCGAUCGGACCUAGUGCCGAUUCCGACCGCUGUCGACUGUUAGCCGCGGAAUUCUCGAACAGACCACGUAACCGAUCGGCGACGCUAUAGCUUUGGGUACUUUCAGGACCCGUCUUGAAACACGGACCAAGGAGUCUAGCAUGUGCGCGAGUCAUUGGGAAUCACUAAACCUAAAGGCGCAAUGAAAGUAAAGGUCUUCCUUGCGGAGACCGAGGGAAGACGAGCGGUUCGGCCUUAAAACCG
rnacentral:rRNA from 1 species